GACGAACGCUGGCGGCGUGCUUAACACAUGCAAGUCGAACGGAAAGGCCCUGCUUUUGUGGGGUGCUCGAGUGGCGAACGGGUGAGUAACACGUGAGUAACCUGCCCUUGACUUUGGGAUAACUUCAGGAAACUGGGGCUAAUACCGGAUAGGAGCUCCUGCUGCAUGGUGGGGGUUGGAAAGUUUCGGCGGUUGGGGAUGGACUCGCGGCUUAUCAGCUUGUUGGUGGGGUAGUGGCUUACCAAGGCUUUGACGGGUAGCCGGCCUGAGGGGGUGACCGGCCACAUUGGGACUGAGAUACGGCCCAGACUCCUACGGGAGGCAGCAGGGGGGAAUAGUGCACAAUGGGCGGAAGCCUGAUGCAGCAACGCCGCGUGCGGGAUGACGGCCUUCGGGGUGUAAACCGCUUUCGCCUGUGACGAAGCGUGAGUGACGGUAAUGGGUAAAGAAGCACCGGCUAACUACG
rnacentral:rRNA from 1 species